rnacentral:rRNA from 1 species
UACGAAGGGUGCAAGCGUUACUCGGAAUUACUGGGCGUAAAGCGUGCGUAGGUGGUUUGUUAAGUCUGUUGUGAAAGCCCCGGGCUCAACCUGGGAGGUGCGCUUGAUACUCGAGGGCUUGAGUGCGGGAGAGGAGAGUGGAAUUCCCAGUGUAGAGGUGAAAUUCGUAGAUAUUGGGAAGAACACCGGUGGCGAAGGCGGCUCUCUGGACCGUAACUGACGCUGAGGCGCGAAAGCGUGGGGAGCAAACAGG